CAAUUUUUCACUGUGUAUACUCAUUGUUGAUAUCUCAUUUUAUUUCAACCACACUUCACCAAAUUCUUGUGAUGAUGGCGGCUAGCAAUGUGAAUUCGAACCACAGUACACCUCACUUGUCGAAAUCAAAUGCCACUUUUGUUCCUAGUAAGAAUUCUGAACAGACAAGUGCCAUGGAUAUUGAGCAGCUUCAACACAUGAUUAACUGCACUGUGAAAAAAAACCCCAAAGCGGAGCUAAGUAAAUCUGAUUUGCUUCGUUUACUGGGCUACCUUGAAGGGGAGCUACAGCCAGAGAUGUAGUGAUUGCAACACCAAAGGCUGAACGUGUUACACAGAAGUCAGUCAUGCUCGUUAUGGAGGAAUUUUACCCGUCAACGACCCGUUCAUCGCCCUCCAACGCGAUUCACGCUCUGCCACCGUUGGCGGCUCGUCUACCGAUGAUACGGCUCUUUUAAAAGCUGUUACCGAAGAGCCAAUGGCAGCCCUAGAAGCCCUCGUAGUCCAACACCGAAACUCUCAUGUUAAUCUCAUUCAAGCCAUGCAAGACGCCGAGGCACGCCACUCACUAGUACUUCGUGAAUUAGACGACGAGAGAAGGAAGCAUGAGCAUGACACAGCCCAAGGUGACGACAUCACUUAAGGACUGGAAAAAGAACGGACGAGACUUCGAGAGGAAUUGGAAGUGGU